UCUCCCUGCUCUACUUCCUGGUUGCCAUAGAGCACCUUUUCCUCUACCAAGCUCCACUCCAUGCUGCUUCCUGCCGUGGAGCCUGCCAACCACGGAAUGAAACCGUGAGCCAAAAUAAUCCUUUCCUCCUCUAGGUUGUGAGUGUUGGGAAUUUUGUUCCAGCAUUGGGAAAAUGGCUCAGACAACUCUGGUUGUUACUGCAGUAUGGAAAGGGUAACUGUAGACAGCACCCGCAGAGAACGAUUCAUACAAAUAAUGGAAUUACAGGAUGGUCACCAUAUUUAUGAAAAAUACCUCAGAGGGAUCAUGAGGGAGUCAUCUGUAUAAAACUAGCAAUAACUGUCAGAUUUCCAGAAAAACGGUCAAGUGGAAAGAACUGAAGGCUCAACCAGUCCUUACCACCAAAACCAAGAAAGUCAGAUGCUGAUUCAAGGUUCAGAGUUCUUCAAGCUGACUGAGGUGCUGGCGAAUAUGUGCAUGUGAGUCUUCAAGGGGCCCUAGGAGAAGUCUGAUGAGCAAUGAAAAAAAAAAGGA
rnacentral:lncRNA from 1 species